rnacentral:rRNA from 1 species
UGGGGAAUAUUGCACAAUGGGCGAAAGCCUGAUGCAGCGACGCCGCGUGAGGGAUGACGGCCUUCGGGUUGUAAACCUCUUUCAGCAGGGAAGAAGCGAAAGUGACGGUACCUGCAGAAGAAGCGCCGGCUAACUACGUGCCAGCAGCCGCGGUAAUACGUAGGGCGCAAGCGUUGUCCGGAAUUAUUGGGCGUAAAGAGCUCGUAGGCGGUUAGUCGCGUCUGCUGUGAAAACUCGAGGCUCAACCUCGGGCUUGCAGUGGGUACGGGCUGACUAGAGUGCGGUAGGGGUGACUGGAAUUCCUGGUGUAGCGGUGGAAUGCGCAGAUAUCAGGAGGAACACCGAUGGCGAAGGCAGGUCACUGGGCCGCAACUGACGCUGAGGAGCGAAAGCAUGGGGAGCGAACAGGAUUAGAUACCCUGGUAGUCCAUGCCGUAAACGUUGGGCACUAGGUGUGGGGUCCAUUUCCACGGAUUCCGUGCCGCAGCAAACGCAUUAAGUGCCCCGCCUGGGGAGUACGGCCGCAAGGCUAAAACUCAAAUGAAUUG